rnacentral:lncRNA from 1 species
GUCGAUCAAUGCUUUGGAUCGACAGCCAGACGAUGUUCCAUGACUUCUGCGUCAAUCCCCGGCAUGUCUACUGGAACUCAAGCGAAAACAUCCGCAUUCUUUCGUAGAAAAUCAGUGAGCUGCGUCCGCACCUCUUCCCCUAGGUUGGAGCUGAUCUUCACCACAUGCUCCGUAUUCCCAUCAUUCAAAGGGAUCGAAACCAGAUCUUUGAUUGGGCUGCCCCUUUCCUCAGCA